rnacentral:lncRNA from 10 species
CAGCUUGCCUCUUAAUUUACAAGGAAAAUGAGGGCCUCAGCAGUGAAGUGUCAACUUAUUUCCUGUCUUGGAGGAGUAGAUGGCACUUCUCCCUCCCAAGGCUUCUGUUUCUGUGCCCAACCCCUGCCCUCCUGGAAAUGAAAUGCUUGGCACUCUUCCAUCCAUGCUGAAGAUCUCUGGUGGUGUCCACCAGCCUAGGUGCUCCCAUGUCUUUGUUCCCUGUGCUACGCCUGCUCCUUGGAAUACCCGCUCACCUCUUCUUGACUUUAUGAAGUGCUACUGAGCCUUCAAGACUUACGGACAAUGUCUCCUUUUUGGAAUUUUGCAGAUAAAGUCCCUAAUCAACUGACUUUAAAGAGGAGAGACAAUCCAGUGGACCUCACUUAAUCAGAAGGCCUUAAAAGCAAGACUGAGGCCUCACCAGGAGAGAAGAAAUUCCUCCUGUGUACAACAGCUUGAGCCCAUGCCCAGAGUCCGUCCUGCUUGUGCCUGUCCCUUCCUGACUGCUGCUCUAUGGAUUUUGGACUUGCUUAGCCAGCCCUCAU